rnacentral:rRNA from 1 species
UACGUAGGGUCCGAGCGUUGUCCGGAAUUACUGGGCGUAAAGAGCUCGUAGGUGGUUUGUCGCGUUGUUCGUGAAAACUCACAGCUCAACUGUGGGCGUGCGGGCGAUACGGGCAGACUUGAGUACUGCAGGGGAGACUGGAAUUCCUGGUGUAGCGGUGAAAUGCGUAGAGAUCAUGAGGAAGACCAGUGGCGAAGGCGGGUCUCUGGACAGUUCCUGACACUGAGACACGAAGGCCAGGGGAGCAAACGGG